UACAGAGGUCUCGAGCGUUAAUCGGAAUUACUGGGCUUAAAGGGUGCGUAGGCGGCGCUGUAAGUGCUUUGUGAAAUCCCAUGGCUUAACCAUGGAAUUGCUCGGCAGACUGCAGCGCUUGAGGUCGGUAGGGGUCGCUGGAACUCUAGGUGGAGCGGUGAAAUGCGUAGAUAUCUAGAGGAACGCCAAAGGUGAAGACAGGCGACUGGGCCGAUUCUGACGCUGAGGCACGAAAGCGUGGGUAGCGAACGGG
rnacentral:rRNA from 1 species